CCUACGGGCGGCAGCAGUGGGGAAUAUUGGGCAAUGGGCGCAAGCCUGACCCAGCAACGCCGCGUGAGGGAAGAAGGCUUUCGGGUUGUAAACUACUUUUCUCAGGGACGAAGCAAGUGACGGUACUUAAGGAAUAAGCCACGGCUAACUACGUGCCAGCAGCCGCGGUAAUACGUAGGUGGCAAGCGUUAUCCGGAUUUACUGGGUGUAAAGGUCGUGUAGGCGGGAAAGCAAGUCAGAUGUGAAAGCCAUGGGCUCAACCUGUGACCUGCAUUUGAAACUGUUUGGCUUGAGUACUGGAGAGGCAGACAGAAUUCCUGGUGUAGCGGUGAAAUGCGUAGAGAUCAGGAGGAACACCAGUGGCGAAGGCGGUCCCCUGGACAGCAACUGACGCUGAGGCGCGAAAGCGUGGGGAGCAAACAGGAUUAGAUACCCGGGUAGUC
rnacentral:rRNA from 1 species